GCGCGAGUGGCGGAAUUGGCAGACGCGCUGGAUUUAGGUUCCAGUGUCCUCGGACGUGUGGGUUCAAGUCCCACCUCGCGCACCA
rnacentral:tRNA from 1 species